GGGUUUCACCGUGUUAGCCAGGAUGGUCUCGAUCUCCUGACCUCGUGAUCCGCCCGUCUCAGCCUCCCAAAGUGCUGGGAUUACAGGCGUGAGCCACCGCGCCCGGCCUCCACUCCUUUGUUAAUACCAAGGAACAUGAUUGCUGAAAGAGUAUGUUUAGUUUUAUAGGAAACUGCCAAACCGUCUUCCCCAGUGGCUGUACCGUACCAUUUUUGCAUUUCCCCCAGCAACAAGUGAGAGUUGUUCCUGUUGCUCCACAUCCUUGCCAGCAUUUGGUGUAGUCCGCCUCGUUGUGAACCUUGAUGAACUUGCUGUGCAGGGACAGGUUGUGGCGGAUCGAGUUCUGGAGGGGCAGAGAUGGCAGGAAAGGGGCGUGAGGUACUGUAGGGGAGGUCAGUGGCCAGCGGUCAAGUCUAAGAGGAUGCUGGACCCUGAUGAUCUAGGGUUUAGGAUUUGGUGCCACCACCGCAGCAGGGUUCAUUUCGGGGCUUCAUUUCCCAGGUCAUUAAAGUUUAAGAAAAACUUUAAAUAAUUUACAAAAAAAGAGAAAAAGAUAAAAGAUAAAAGGGUGCUGGAACACAGCAGGGGUAUUCCUGGAGACUCAAAGAAAGUUGAAUCCAGGGGGGAAAACUGGUAGAAGUAGGGGUGGGGGUGGGGUGUGAGGGGAGACCACACACAUUUCCCGCUCCCAGACAAGCUGCUCAGCCUCUGCUCCAGACUUCUCUGUACAGCGGGUGGGAGAUAACGUGUAAUAAUCCACUGCAGAGAGCACGGGGGAUGCCCACCCUGGAAAAGCUCCUGGUACUCUGCUCUUCCCAGGGCUUCGUGUGUGUUUUGCGGGGGGUGGGGGGAGCGGUACCUGGGGCUGGUGGGCACUGGGGAGACGUGCUCCUUGCCCAGCAAGAACUA
rnacentral:lncRNA from 10 species